rnacentral:rRNA from 1 species
GACGAACGCUGGCGGCGUGCUUAACACAUGCAAGUCGAACGGAAAGGCCCCUUUUGGGGUACUCGAGUGGCGAACGGGUGAGUAACACGCGAGUAACCUGCCCUUGACUUCGGUAUAACUUCAGUAAACUGGGGCUAAUACCGGCUAGGAAUCCUUGCUGCAUGGUGGGGGUUGGAAAGCUUGUGCGGUUUUGGAUGGACUCGCGGCCUAUCAGCUUGUUUGUUGGGUAGUGGCUUACCAAGGCUUUGACGGGUAGCCGGCCUGGGAGGGCGAACGGCCACAUUGGGACUGAGAUACGGCCCAGAAUCCUACGGGGGGCAGGAGUGGGGGAUAUUGCACAAUGGGCGGAAGCCCGAUGCAGGCACGCCGGGUGCGGGAUGACGGCCUUCGGGUUGGAAACCGCUUUCAGCAGGGGAGAAGCUUGUGGUGACGGUACCUGCAGAAGAAGCACCGGCUAACUACGUG